GCCUGAAGAUAGGGAUCUCCCUAAGUCUAAGAAGUACAUAAGCGACAGUGAAGAGUACCGCAAGGGAAGGGUGAAGACGGUUCAUUGAACUGACCAGAGGAGAGUGUAUGCAGAUCGCUCAUCCUGGCACCAGAAACAGGCAGCCUACGCAACAAGCAUGGUAAGAGAUGUGAGUUGUUACCUUGUGUAUAAGGGGCAAGCAACUGAAUAGAGAGAGC
rnacentral:rRNA from 1 species